UGGGGAAGUCUUGCGCAAUGGGCGAAGACCUGACGCAGCAACGCCGCGUGCGGGACGAAGGCCUUCGGGUUGUAAACCGCUUCAGCAGGGACGCGGUACCUGCAGAAGAAGCCCCGGCCAACUACGUGCCAGCAGCCGCGGUAACACGUAGGGGGCGAGCGUUGUCCGGAUUUAUUGGGCGUAAAGAGCUCGUAGGCGGUUCGGUAAGUCGGAUGUGAAAUCUCCACGCUCAACGUGGAGGGGCCAUUCGAUACUGCCGGACUCGAGUCCGGUAGAGGAGUGUGGAAUUCCCGGUGUAGCGGUGAAAUGCGCAGAGAUCGGGAGGAACACCCGUAGCGAAGGCGGCACUCUGGGCCGGUACUGACGCUGAGGAGCGAAAGCGUGGGGAGCAAACAGGAUUAGAUACCCUUGUAGU
rnacentral:rRNA from 1 species